rnacentral:rRNA from 1 species
ACUACGGAGGGUCCGAGCGUUAAGUCGGAAUUACUGGGGCGUAAAGGCGUGCGCAGGCGGUUUAUUAAGUCGAGAUGUGAAAGCCCCUGGGCUCAACCUAGGAAUAGCAUUUCGAACUGGCGAACUAGAGUCUUGUAGAGGGGGUAGAAUUCCAGGUGUAGCGGUGAAAUGCGUAGAGAUCUGGAGGAAUACCGGUGGCGAAGGCGGCCCCCUGGACAAAGACUGACGCUCAGGCACGAAAGCGUGGGGAGCAAACAGGAUUAGAUACCCGCGUAGU